AGAGUUGAUCCUGGCUCAGAUGAACGGGCGCAGGCUAACACAUGCAAGUCGAGCGGUACACAGGAGUUGCUCUGGGUGACGAGCGGCGGACGGGUGAGUAAUGUCUGGGAAACUGCCUGAUGGAGGGGGAUAACUACUGGAAACGGUAGCUAAUACCGCAUAAGUCGCAAGACCAAAGAGGGGGACCUUCGGGCCUCUUGCCAUCAGAUGUGCCCAGAUGGGAUUAGCUAGUAGGUGGGGUAACGGCUCACCUAGGCGACGAUCCCUAGCUGGUCUGAGAGGAUGACCAGCCACACUGGAACUGAGACACGGUCCAGAUCUACGGGAGGCAGCAGUGGGGAAUAUUGCACAAUGGGCGCAAGCCUGAUGCAGCCAUGCCGCGUGUAUGAAGAAGGCCUUCGGGUUGUAAAGUACUUUCAGCGGGGAGGAAGGUGUUGAGGUUAAUAACCUCAGCAAUUGACGUUACCCGCAGAAGAAGCACCGGCUAACUCCGUGCCAGCAGCCGCGGUAAUACGGAGGGUGCAAGCGUUAAUCGGAAUUACUGGGCGUAAAGCGCACGCAGGCGGUCUGUCAAGUCGGAUGUGAAAUCCCCGGGCUCAACCUGGGAACUGCAUUGAAACUGGCAGGCUAGAGUCUUGUAGAGGGGGGUAGAAUUCCAGGUGUAGCGGUGAAAUGCGUAGAGAUCUGGAGGAAUACCGGGCGAAGGCGGCCCCCGACAAAGACACGCAGUA
rnacentral:rRNA from 1 species